UGCCAACCCCACCUGUAUUUCAGCAUCUCCAGAUGCCUGAAGGUAUCCUCAGACGUGCAGAACACAACGCCAUCCACAGCCUCAGAAACAGCUCAGACAUCAUAAUCAAAAAGGCUGACAAAGGAGGUGCUGUCGUCAUCAUGAAUAGGUCGGAAUAUGAACAAGAGGCUGCUCGGCAGCUCUCCAACACCACUUUCUACAAGCCAUUAUCCUCUGAUCCCACUGAGAGUUACCAAAAGAAACGACACCAUCUGCUCAAGAAACUCCCUGAAAAAGCACAAGAACAAAUCUGCACAGACACACCCCUAGAGCCCCAACCAGGGGUCUUCUAUCUGCUACCCAAGAUCCAUAAACAUGGAAAUCCUGGAUGCCCCUUCAUCUGAGGCAUUGGCAUCCUGACAGCAGGAUUGUCUGGUUCUGUAGACUCUCUCCUCAGGCCCUACGCUACCAGCACUCCCAGCUACCACUUCAAUCUCUCUGGUCACUCUCCAAGGAACUCCCCACUCCGAGACACUGUGGCCUGUAAAUGCAGAGCCAGCGUCCUGGAAUCGUCUCCUGGUGCGUGGAGUGGUGGCAGUGGUGGGGGAGCUAGUCUCACUAUACCGAUGUGGGUUUUGGAAAGGUAGGGGGAAAGUGUUUGCCUACUCGUGACUCGUCUUCAGGAAGCUGCUGACUCAUCCCUCCCAGCAGCCUGGAAGUCCGCAGGAUUCACAGGAAUCUGAGCUCCCCGCAGUGUGUGACAGGGACGGGGACCAGGCCCAGGGGACCAGAAACAGGAAUCGAGACCAGCCCUGGAGAAUGGUGAAGGAGACCUGCUCAUGGAGGACAGACGCUUCUCCCAGGAACCCAGAGGAAGGGAUCCAUUAAGUGGGGACACGGGUGUGGCCCAGGAAACUGGAGUAGCAUUGCCAAUCCUCCAGGGUGACCGGGAGUCUGCAGGAAUUCAAGAUUAAUUUUUAAUUAAUCCCUCUUACGGUGCCCCUCAAUGGUGGGGACUAGACUGGGCGAAACUUUUCAUCUAAACCAAUUUUAGGUGAAAAAUGCAGAUUCAGCAGUUUGCGAAUUGGUAUCCGUUCUGCUGAAUUGUUCACAUCCAGCCCCUCCCCCCAGUUCUUAACAAGUCAAAGCAUUUCGUUUAGACACUUUCCAAACAAACUAUUUUGAUUUUUCAGCUUGAAACAAUUUUUUGUUUAAAAAUGUCCUUCAAUUUUAUUUUAAAAAUUCAAAAAGUUACAACCCUUGAAAUGUUCCUGGGUUUUGUUUUAUUUUUAAGCUUUUUGGUUCAUGAAAAAUUUGGAAAAAAUUUAGUUUUGUUCAACCUGAAACCAGUUUUUUUCCAUCUCUUUUUUUGGAAUUGCCAGCGACCAAAAACUUCUGUUUGCCCAGCUCCAGGGGCGGGUGAGGAUUUUAGCGAUAAUAGUGUGGGUCUCUGAGUCUCCUUGUUGCUCAAAGUUUUCUUACUGUUACAAAUGAAUUUGGGAUGAGGGCAGGAUGGGCAAGAGAUUCCUAAAAGUGGGGGGGCUGAUGGCACCCAAACUGUAGCCCAGCCCCUGUGCCACCCCUUCUCCUCGAGGUCCGGCCCCCUCAAACCGCCCCUUACCCUGAGGCCCCCCCUCAUGCCGCCUUUCUCCCUGAUCUCCCACUUCACGCCGCCCCUUCCCCCAAAACACUGCCCCUCCUCUCCCUUCUCUUCCCCCUCAUCCAGUCGCUCACACUUAUGGCCAGAAAAAAGUGGUGGGCCCUGGUCUCCCCUGGAUGAGAGUGGGAGAGGAUGAAGAACUCCUUUCAAAUAUAACCUCCCCCCCCACCUCACAAAAGCACAAUUUGCCAGCAACAGCAAAAGAUGCACCUAACCAACCCGGGCCAGUCACGCUGUGUUGUGUGUGACAUUCCCGUCCUGGGGCGGUUUAUGUCUUUGAGAAUGUGAACCCUGCAGGCCUGGAUGUUUCUCUAUGUAAUGUGACCUCAGUGGUCCUGAUGAGAGCCGUUGUUUUUUAAUGUUUCAGGAGCAGACAUAUUUAUCAUUCAUGGACAUACA